UACGGAGGGGACUAGCGUUGCUCGGAAUCACUGGGUCGUAAAGGGCGCGUAGGCGGCCAUUUAAGUCGGGGGUGUAAAGCCUGUGGUCUCAACCACAGAAUUGCCUUCGAUACUGGAUGGCUUGAGUUCGGUAGAAGGUUGGUGGAACUGCGAGUGUAGAGGUGAAAUUCGUAGAUAUUCGCAAGAACACCGGUGGCGAAGGCGGCCAACUGGACCGACACUGACGCUGAGGCGCGAAAGCGUGGGGAGCAAACAGG
rnacentral:rRNA from 1 species